rnacentral:lncRNA from 1 species
CUGAUAUAAGUGAUAUGCAUUUCUAUCUUAUAAACCAUAAGUGAUAGAGACCUAGGAUCUUUUGAUUUGAGGUCCUUGGUCCAAAAAAAUGAAAAUUAGGUCAAGGUCAAAGGUCAAGGUCAUAUUCUAAUAUUUGAAUUUGGCUUAUUUUCACUUAUAUCCAAAGACCGUAUAAGAUAUCAACAAAUUAUUUUUACUAAAUUGUUAGUUGCGACAUGUCGUAACACAUACAUUUUUAUUGCAAGGGCACGUUGAACGUAAAAGGGAGUUUUUUCCCCUCUUGUAUUUAAAAAUACGCGUUUGGUGAUAUAAGUCAUUAACCAAAUAUAAUUAAGACCUAUGGUCUUUUGAUUUGAGGUCCUUAGUUCAUGACCUUGAAAUUGAUCUCAAGGUCAUAGCUUAAUUUGACGUUCUAGAUUUUGACCUUUGCUUUUAUUUUAUAUGUAUACAUGAUAAAGCUAUGAAACUUUUGGAAAAAGGUAUCAAACCAUUUAACCUUGAAAGAAACAACCGGAAGUGACCUUUUGUAAACCGGAAGUAGCUAUUUUUUGUACUUUAUUAAUAUAAAAGUAUAUAGAACCAGAUAUUUUUGGAAUCAG